rnacentral:lncRNA from 1 species
CGGCGGCGGCGCCGGCGCCAUGGCCCCGACCCUGCUCCAGCGGCUCUUCAGCAAAAGGGGCGGCGCGGGCGGCGCGGCCCGCGAGCGCGCGGCCUUCAGCUUCUAAAAGAGGAAAUUAGUGGGCUGCUGCAAGUAGCUUGUUUCAUAUGCUGUACAGGAAGUGAGAUGAUCGCUGCUCACUGCAGAAUAUCCCUCAAAUAAUAUUCCUUCAAGAUUUGUGUCCAGUCCAAGUUGAUGGUUAGGGUAAACCGGAAGAACUUUAAAUGCUUGGGACAUGUGUGGCGGCUCAGCGAAAACCACAAACCAGCCAGGGGCCUGGCCAGAUUCAGCCCAGAUGUGUGAGUGAUGCUGGCUCUGCUGCGGGCAGGAUUUACAAGACGUUUUUAUGCACAAAGAUUCAGAAACGUGCCUGGGUUGGCAGAGGCACUGAUCACACGGAACUGGACAACAGAUUUUUCCAGGAAAAUAGAUGAGGCCAUAGGGCUUUUGACGUGAGAAAUCCUGAGAAAUCCGGGAGUAUUCACCAAAAAUAUCUAUGAAUCAUUGUUCCUCUCACCUCAAGAGAAAGCUUGCC